rnacentral:tRNA from 1 species
CAAAGUGUAGCUUAAACAAAAGCAUCCGGUCUACACCCGGAAGAUCUCAAGUAUAUUGAUUACUUUGA